rnacentral:rRNA from 1 species
GACGAACGCUGGCGGCGUGCUUAACACAUGCAAGUCGAACGGAAAGGCCCUGCUUUUGUGGGGUGCUCGAGUGGCGAACGGGUGAGUAACACGUGAGUAACCUGCCCUUGACUUUGGGAUAACUUCAGGAAACUGGGGCUAAUACCGGAUAGGAGCUCCUGCUGCAUGGUGGGGGUUGGAAAGUUUCGGCGGUUGGGGAUGGACUCGCGGCUUAUCAGCUUGUUGGUGGGGUAGUGGCUUACCAAGGCUUUGACGGGUAGCCGGCCUGAGAGGGUGACCGGCCACAUUGGGACUGAGAUACGGCCCAGACUCCUACGGGAGGCAGCAGUGGGGAAUAUUGCACAAUGGGCGGAAGCCUGAUGCAGCAACGCCGCGUGCGGGAUGACGGCCUUCGGGUUGUAAACCGCUUUCGCCUGUGACGAAGCGUGAGUGACGGUAAUGGGUAAAGAAGCACCGGCUAACUACGUGCCAGCAGCCGCGGUGAUACGUAGGGUGCGAGCGUUGUCCGGAUUUAUUGGGCGUAAAGGGCUCGUAGGUGGUUGAUCGCGUCGGAAGUGUAAUCUUGGGGCUUAACCCUGAGCGUGCUUUCGAUACGGGUUGACUUGAGGAAGGUAGGGGAGAAUGGAAUUCCUGGCGGAGCGGUGGAAUGCGCAGAUAUCAGGAGGAACACCAGUGGCGAAGGCGGUUCUCUGGGCCUUUCCUGACGCUGAGGAGCGAAAGCGUGGGGAGCGAACAGGCUUAGAUACCCUGGUAGUCCACGCUGUAAACGGUGGGUACUAGGUGUGGGGUCCAUUCCACGGGUUCCGUGCCGUAGCUAACGCUUUAAGUACCCCGCCUGGGGAGUACGGCCGCAAGGCUAAAACUCAAAGGAAUUGACGGGGCCCCGCACAAGCGGCGGAGCAUGCGGAUUAAUUCGAUGCAACGCGUAGAACCUUACCUGGGUUUGACAUGGAUCGGGAGUGCUCAGAGAUGGGUGUGCCUCUUUUGGGGUCGGUUCACAGGUGGUGCAUGGCUGUCGUCAGCUCGUGUCGUGAGAUGUUGGGUUAAGUCCCGCAACGAGCGCAACCCUUGUUCACUGUUGCCAGCACGUUAUGGUGGGGACUCAGUGGAGACCGCCGGGGUCAACUCGGAGGAAGGUGGGGAUGACGUCAAGUCAUCAUGCCCCUUAUGUCCAGGGCUUCACGCAUGCUACAAUGGCUGGUACAGAGAGUGGCGAGCCUGUGAGGGUGAGCGAAUCUCGGAAAGCCGGUCUCAGUUCGGAUUGGGGUCCGCAACUCGACCUCAUGAAGUCGGAGUCGCUAGUAAUCGCAGAUCAGCAACGCUGCGGUGAAUACGUUCCCGGG